rnacentral:rRNA from 1 species
GAUGAACGCUGGCGGUAUGCCUAACACAUGCAAGUCGUACGAGAGUUUUUUAACUCUAGUGGCGACGGGUGAGUAACACGUGAGAAUUUGCCUUUAGGAGGGGGAUAACAAUUGGAAACGAAUGCUAAUACCCCAUAUGCUUUCGAGUGAAAUGGAUUUUAUCCGCCUAGAGAGAAGCUCGCGGCUGAUUAGCUUGUUGGUAAGGUAAGAGCUUACCAAGGCGACGAUCAGUAUCUGGUUUGAGAGGACGAUCAGACACACUGGAACUGAGACACGGUCCAGACUCCUACGGGAGGCAGCAGUGGGGAAUUUUCCGCAAUGGGCGAAAGCCUGACGGAGCAAUACCGCGUGAGGGAAGAAUGCCUAUGGGUUGUAAACCUCUUUUUCAGGGAGGAAUAAAAUGACGUGUACCUGAAGAAUAAGCAUCGGCUAACUCCGUG